CGUAGGGCGCAAGCGUUGUCCGGAAUUAUUGGGCGUAAAGAGCUCGUAGGCGGCUUGUCGCGUCGGUUGUGAAAGCCCGGGGCUUAACCCCGGGUCUGCAGUCGAUACGGGCAGGCUAGAGUUCGGUAGGGGAGAUCGGAAUUCCUGGUGUAGCGGUGAAAUGCGCAGAUAUCAGGAGGAACACCGGUGGCGAAGGCGGAUCUCUGGGCCGAUACUGACGCUGAGGAGCGAAAGCGUGGGGAGCGAACAGGAUUAGAUACCCUGGUAGUCCACGCCGUAAACGGUGGGCACUAGGUGUGGGCGACAUUCCACGUCGUCCGUGCCGCAGCUAACGCAUUAAGUGCCCCGCCUGGGGAGUACGGCCGCAAGGCUA
rnacentral:rRNA from 1 species